CCUACGGGUGGCAGCAGUGAGGAAUAUUGGUCAAUGGGCGCGAGCCUGAACCAGCCAAGUAGCGUGAAGGAUGACUGCCCUACGGGUUGUAAACUUCUUUUAUAAAGGAAUAAAGUGAGGCACGUGUGCCUUUUUGUAUGUACUUUAUGAAUAAGGAUCGGCUAACUCCGUUCCAGCAGCCGCGGUAAUACGGAGGAUCCGAGCGUUAUCCGGAUUUAUUGGGUUUAAAGGGAGCGUAGGUGGGUUGUUAAGUCAGUUGUGAAAGUUUGGGGCUCAACCGUAAAAUUGCAAUUGAUACUGGCAGUCUUGAGUACAGUAGAGGUAGGUGGAAUUCGUGGUGUAGCGGUGAAAUGCUUAGAGAUCACGAAGAACUCCGAUUGCGAAGGCAGCUUACUAAACUGCCACUGACGUUGAGGCUCGAAAGUGUGGGGAUCAAACAGGAUUAGAUACCCUUGUAGUC
rnacentral:rRNA from 1 species